GCCAGCGGUUCUGCUGGGACAGGACAGGACAGUAGCAUUCCUGUACGAAGGCUGAUGGUGGAGGGAAGCAUCAGAGUCUUUUCCAGUGAGUCCAGAAGGCCUGGUAUCCCCACUCUAACUUCCAACCAGCUGAGCAGCCUUUUUCCCGCUUCAAAGAGGACAGAAAGAGUCAGAAGAGAUGAUCAGCAGGACAGGUGGUGCUACCAAGGACAUGAAAAAGAAGGCAAGGCUCAGCCUGCACGAGGGACCACAGGAUCUGAGCGGCCUGGUUACUGUGAUGAACAUACAGAAACAAUGCGUGUGCUGGUGUGUUAGGCUACGAGCCGCUGCCCCAGCCUCCUCGGGAUGUUACCCUGCAGCACAUCUGAAAUAGAUUACCUUCGUGAAGCCCCAAAUGUCU